rnacentral:rRNA from 1 species
UCCAGACUCCUACGGGAGGCAGCAGUGGGGAAUAUUGCACAAUGGGCGAAAGCCUGAUGCAGCAACGCCGCGUGAAGGAAGAAGGGUUUCGGCUCGUAAACUUCUAUCAACAGGGACGAAAGAAAUGACGGUACCUGAGUAAGAAGCCCCGGCUAACUACGUGCCAGCAGCCGCGGUAAUACGUAGGGGGCAAGCGUUAUCCGGAUUUACUGGGUGUAAAGGGAGCGUAGACGGCCAGACAAGUCUGAAGUGAAAAUCCAGCGCUUAACGUUGGAAGUGCUUUGGAAACUGCCGGGCUAGAGUGCAGGAGGGGCAGGAGGAAUUCCUAGUGUAGCGGUGAAAUGCGUAGAUAUACGGAGGAACACCAGUGGCGAAGGCGGAUGACUGGACGGCAACUGACGGUGAGGCGCGAAAGCGUGGGGAGCAAACAGGAUUAGAUACCCUAGUA